GUACUCCGGGGAUAACAGGCUGAUACCGCCCAAGAGUUCAUAUCGACGGCGGUGUUUGGCACCUCGAUGUCGGCUCAUCACAUCCUGGGGCUGAAGUAGGUCCCAAGGGUAUGGCUGUUCGCCAUUUAAAGUGGUACGCGAGCUGGGUUUAGAACGUCGUGAGACAGUUCGGUCCCUAUCUGCCGUGGGCGCUGGAGAACUGAGGGGGGCUGCUCCUAGUACGAGAGGACCGGAGUGGACGCAUCACUGGUGUUCGGGUUGUCAUGCCAAUGGCACUGCCCGGUAGCUAAAUGCGGAAGAGAUAAGUGCUGAAAGCAUCUAAGCACGAAACUUGC
rnacentral:rRNA from 1 species